rnacentral:rRNA from 1 species
GACGAACGCUGGCGGCGUGCUUAACACAUGCAAGUCGAACGGAAAGGCCCUGCUUUUGUGGGGUGCUCGAGUGGCGAACGGGUGAGUAACCCGUGAGUAACCUGCCCUUGACUUUGGGAUAACUUCAGGAAACUGGGGCUAAUACCGGAUAGGAGCUCCUGCUGCUUGGUGGGGGUUGGAAAGUUUCGGCGGUUGGGGAUGGACUCGCGGCUUACGAGCUCGUUGGUGGGGUAGUGGCUUAGCAAGGAUUGGACGGGUAGCCGGCCUGAGAGGGAGACCGGCCACAUAGGGACUGAGAGAGGGCCCGGACUGAUACGGGAGGCAGGAGUGGGGAAUGUUGCACGAUGGGCGGAAGCCGGAUGGAGCAACGCCGCGUGCGGGAGGACGGCCUUCGGGUGGUAAGCAGCUUUCGCCUGUGACGGAGCGUGAGUAACGGAAAUGGAAAAGAAGCACCGGCUAACUACGUG